rnacentral:lncRNA from 1 species
CGGGUGGGUUGGUGACUCUCAGACCAAGAUUCAGCACACCUGUGAGCCUCUGACUCCACUAAGGGAACACAGUUCACAGGAGGGAUUGAGGAUUUAAUACACAGAUCCGGUUCACCUUUGAGAUGGUGACUCGUGUAAUUAGACACAACAUACCUGACUGUUGAGGUUCUGAAUCUCACAUCCAAAGAAAGUUGAAGAUGGAAAACUGAUUCAUACAUGGAUUCGGUUCACAGGUGGGUUGGUGACUCCAAGACCAAGAUCCAGCAUAUCUGUGAGGCUUUGACUCCACUAAAGGGAUACAGUCUGUGGGAGGGAUUGAGGCUCUUAUGGAUGGAUUCCCUAAACUGUUGAGAUUGUGGGUUAUACACCUAUACCCAACAUACAGGAGGUGGUGCCUCUCAUACCUAGAACCAAGACAUGUGCAGGAUGGUUAAUCUCAUCUCUGGACCUUCCUGUAGCUGUGAUUGUGACAUAUACCUCAGCCUAGCACUUGAGCAAUUUUAUGCUCCUGCCUGGGCUCAGCCCACAGACUGGGUGGUGACAUCUUUCUGCACCAGCGCUUAGUCAAUGUCUUGGUUCUGCCCAUAGAGACAACUUUGAUAUAUUGUGGCUCCUCGCACUUAGGUUAUGUGACUCUCGUGCCUGUGUUUUGCCCACAUGGGCCAUUGUGACAUAUUGCUGAGUCCAACAUGAAGGUGAUGUAAUCCUCCACCCUGUCCUCUGCCUACAGAAGGCAUUGUAACAUACCUUUUGGUCCUUCACAUGGGUGAUAUUACUCUCUGGCUCACCCUUCUUUCAAGGG